GAACGAUGAUCCCAGCUUGCUGGGGGAUUAGUGGCGAACGGGUGAGUAACACGUGAGUAACCUGCCCUUAACUCUGGGAUAAGCCUGGGAAACUGGGUCUAAUACCGGAUAUGACUCCUCAUCGCAUGGUGGGGGGUGGAAAGCUUUAUUGUGGUUUUGGAUGGACUCGCGGCCUAUCAGCUUGUUGGUGAGGUAAUGGCUCACCAAGGCGACGACGGGUAGCCGGCCUGAGAGGGUGACCGGCCACACUGGGACUGAGACACGGCCCAGACUCCUACGGGAGGCAGCAGUGGGGAAUAUUGCACAAUGGGCGAAAGCCUGAUGCAGCGACGCCGCGUGAGGGAUGACGGCCUUCGGGUUGUAAACCUCUUUCAGUAGGGAAGAAGCGAAAGUGACGGUACCUGCAGAAGAAGCGCCGGCUAACUACGUGCCAGCAGCCGCGGUAAUACGUAGGGCGCAAGCGUUAUCCGGAAUUAUUGGGCGUAAAGAGCUCGUAGGCGGUUUGUCGCGUCUGCCGUGAAAGUCCGGGGCUCAACUCCGGAUCUGCGGUGGGUACGGGCAGACUAGAGUGAUGUAGGGGAGACUGGAAUUCCUGGUGUAGCGGUGAAAUGCGCAGAUAUCAGGAGGAACACCGAUGGCGAAGGCAGGUCUCUGGGCAUUAACUGACGCUGAGGAGCGAAAGCAUGGGGAGCGAACAGGAUUAGAUACCCUGGUAGUCCAUGCCGUAAACGUUGGGCACUAGGUGUGGGGGACAUUCCACGUUUUCCGUACCGUAGCUAACGCAUUAAGUGCCCCGCCUGGGGAGUACGGCCGCAAGGCUAAAACUCAAAGGAAUUGACGGGGGCCCGCACAAGCGGCGGAGCAUGCGGAUUAAUUCGAUGCAACGCGAAGAACCUUACCAAGGCUUGACAUGAACCGGAAACACCUGGAAACAGGUGCCCCGCUUGCGGUCGGUUUACAGGUGGUGCAUGGUUGUCGUCAGCUCGUGUCGUGAGAUGUUGGGUUAAGUCCCGCAACGAGCGCAACCCUCGUUCUAUGUUGCCAGCGCGUGAUGGCGGGGACUCAUAGGAGACUGCCGGGGUCAACUCGGAGGAAGGUGGGGACGACGUCAAAUCAUCAUGCCCCUUAUGUCUUGGGCUUCACGCAUGCUACAAUGGCCGGUACAAAGGGUUGCGAUACUGUGAGGUGGAGCUAAUCCCAAAAAGCCGGUCUCAGUUCGGAUUGGGGUCUGCAACUCGACCCCAUGAAGUCGGAGUCGCUAGUAAUCGCA
rnacentral:rRNA from 1 species